AACGCAAUAUGUCAAAGAUAAUCCGUCGCUCAAAUCACUCCAUAAGGUUUCAACUUCGAAAUUUCAGUCAUACAAAUCUCGCUCGGAGUUCUCUUCCUAUUUCUGUGAACAUUGGAAGCUUUAAAGCAAAAUCCAAGAAUAUCCACAUGACACGUCCUUUGUGGUUUCUACAUUAUUAAUACGCACCAGCAACUUAAUGCAUCUUCUCGUUGCAUUUUAAGAGCGCACUAAACGUUAUCGUCAUGAUCAAUGAAUAUUUGCUAAAAUGGCAUUUCAACUUGAUUUUAUCUAGCACUGAUCUUUACAAACGCUCAAAUUUCGCUCCAGCAGUAUGCCGAUUUCGGAAACAAAGUGCGGCGUACCAUUUCUAAACGUUUGUUUAGGCCUAUUGUAUGCGCGAGCAUAGCGUCCAUGAUGAAGAGAGGCGUUUGUGGUUUUUUUCAAAAUGAAAAUACACUCUGAUUAUGCCCUCGUGAAAGCCGAAACGCGUGUGGUGGUUGAAAGUUUCAAAAUUUGUUGUUAUUUUAAGAAGCACUUUAGCAAUCGUCGCCCACAAGCUUGCCAUUGGAAUCAGUAAUAGAAUUUUGGCGCUGUAGUUAUCUAUUGAAUGUUUAAUUGCAAUGGAUAAGAGUUAAAUUGCAUGGAUUAACGCAAACAAAGAGAAAAUUGCAUCAGUAAAUGUCGGUGAAACAGUCGUUUCUGGUGAUGAACGAGGCAUUUUUACUCGACUCUCAACACGCUCUUUCUGUAUUUAUUCAACGCAAAAUAACAACGACGGUGUUAAAGUUUCAGGCAUAAUGACGUCGUACAAACAAUGUGUUACCUGUCCAAAAGUUUGGUGUAAAUAUUUCGAUAUGAAUUUACAGAAACAAAAGCGUUUCUAAAUAAAUAAAUGAUGUUAAUGAUCUGAAAUUUUCAUGACGCGAUCUAAUUCGUGAGCCAGUGAUGCGGCAGUCGACUGUACGCAAAUGAAACUUCGUAUGAAGAUGCAGAUUACAGAUGCCUAUAUUGUGUUUGCUUACUAAACGGAGGAAUGCACGAAGUGAGAAAGAAUUUGUGAAAGAAUGUGUUCCUCUUGACGUUCUUCUUUUACUCGUUGAACAAAAUUGAAAAUGUUUCGCGCGAUACUCUUCAUUCAAUGUUAAUCAUGAUCGAAAAUCGCUAGCUGUGGUUGCUGUGGUUAGCGCAGUUGUAGAGACGCAGUUGUCAUGUGAAAUUUGCAUUAUCGGCGCCUGAUCUUACUGCGAUAAAAUGGUGAAGCAAGUGGUCAAUAGACUGGGUAGAUAUCAUACAACUCCACAUGGCUAUAUGGUUACGUAUAAUAGAUUGGCCGAUAAAAUAUAAAAUGGUUUGAACCCAUAAAAGUAAUAGAUUUGUGGGGAUAUGCUUUACAAACUCAAUACCAUAACCACCCCAUGUCCGCACUGGUGACGAAAAGAUAGACAGAGAAAAUGUUAAUAGUUUCACACGUUUUGAUGAGCGUGUCAAAAUGGUAUGAAAGGCAUCUGCACCAAAUAACAAGUCAAGCAAACAAGAGAUAAUUCCACUUGACUGUGUAGAAAAUCUUAGCUACCAACACAGAUUAGAUUGUUAACACAUUCAGAAAAAUAUUGACCGCUGUUUCAUCAGGAUUUUGUACGGGAUUUUUUCAACGAGAAAUCAUGUGAACGCGUGCAGACUAUAGAGGCCAUUUUUGGAACUGAAUGAAAGUUACUUGCAACUAUCCAAGUGAUUAUACAGGGAUAACACGGAUCAUCCAUGUCAUACUUUAUCACCCAAUCCCAUGAGUACCCACAUGAACUUAUAGACAUAAUAACACUUGCACGGCUUUAUCUAGAACCGUAAGACAGAAACAAUAAUUUAUUUCCAAAUCACGUAAUUACAUGAUCUAAACAAAAUGUGCAAUUUGUUAUUUAGUGCCCAAUCAAAAUAUCAAAUGUAAAUUCGUCGUAUUUUAAAUCAUUAAAGAUAGAUGAAAGAUCUCAGUUUCUAUUGUGGAAAUUUAUGGCGUCGUGUACCUCCACUGAAAUGAAAAUGUUCGACGAAAAAUGAAUAAAUGUUUUUGACCAUUCGUGCAAUUUAUCAUCGCUGAAAGGAGAUUCAAAUGGUUUAUUCCUCGUUAAACGGUAGAUAGAGGACGUUAUCGUGUCAAACAGUCAAAGAUUGUAUCGCAUCUAGUUUUUUCCAACAAGGGAAAUGAUGAGAAAGUUUGGUUGGAAAAUAAAAGGAUGAGACUUGUUGUGAUCAGAAUCAUUCACAGCGUGAUGGAGAUUUCAAAUGAUAAAAGAUUGAGCAUUGAACACCUGCAUAUAGAAGGGGAGCGUUGAAGCUUUGUUUUUGUCAGCUGUUUUUUAUAUUUGUCAUUUAUGAUCAUUUACAAGAUUAAUAUAUCGUAUAUUUAUCUACCUAACCACUGAUAAAAUGUUAAUUACAUGUUCAAUAAAACUAUAACUAUAUAGAA